UGUCCAGGGAUGGGAAUCGAACCCACAGUGUUCUGCUUACCGGGCAGAUGCCAUGUCCACUAGGCUACCCUAAGC
rnacentral:tRNA from 1 species